rnacentral:rRNA from 2 species
AAUCUUAGCGGCGGACGGGUGAGUAACACGUGGGCAACCUGCCCUUGAGACGGGGAUAACUCCGGGAAACCGGAGCUAAUACCGGAUAACACAUAUCUUCGCAUGAGGAUAUGUUAGAAGGUGGCUUUUAGCUACCACUCAAGGAUGGGCCCGCGGCGCAUUAGCUAGUUGGUGAGGUAACGGCUCACCAAGGCGACGAUGCGUAGCCGACCUGAGAGGGUGAUCGGCCACACUGGGACUGAGACACGGCCCAGACUCCUACGGGAGGCAGCAGUAGGGAAUCUUCCGCAAUGGACGAAAGUCUGACGGAGCAACGCCGCGUGAGUGAUGAAGGUUUUCGGAUCGUAAAGCUCUGUUGUUAGGGAAGAACAAGUACCUGUUGAAUAAGCAGGUACCUUGACGGUACCUAACCAGAAAGCCACGGCUAACUACGUGCCAGCAGCCGCGGUAAUACGUAGGUGGCAAGCGUUGUCCGGAAUUAUUGGGCGUAAAGCGCGCGCAGGCGGUUCCUUAAGUCUGAUGUGAAAGCCCACGGCUCAACCGUGGAGGGUCAUUGGAAACUGGGGAACUUGAGUGCAGAAGAGGAGAGCGGAAUUCCACGUGUAGCGGUGAAAUGCGUAGAGAUGUGGAGGAACACCAGUGGCGAAGGCGGCUCUCUGGUCUGUAACUGACGCUGAGGCGCGAAAGCGUGGGGAGCGAACAGGAUUAGAUACCCUGGUA